rnacentral:rRNA from 1 species
CCUACGGGCGGCAGCAGUGGGGAAUAUUGCACAAUGGGGGAAACCCUGAUGCAGCGACGCCGCGUGAGUGAAGAAGUAUCUCGGUACGUAAAGCUCUAUCAGCAGGGAAGAAAAUGACGGUACCUGACUAAGAAGCCCCGGCUAACUACGUGCCAGCAGCCGCGGUAAUACGUAGGGGGCAAGCGUUAUCCGGAUUUACUGGGUGUAAAGGGAGCGUAGACGGCAGCACAAGUCUGGAGUGAAAUCCCGGGGCUUAACCCCGGAACUGCUUUGGAAACUGUGCGGCGGGAGUGCAGGAGGGGUAAGCGGAAUUGCUAGUGUAGCGGUGAAAUGCGUAGAGAUUAGGAGGACCACCGGUGGAGAAGGCGGCUUACUGGACUGUAACUGACGUUGAGGCUCGAAAGCGUGGGGAGCAAACAGGAUUAGAUACCCCGGUAGUC